rnacentral:rRNA from 1 species
AGUGGCGGACGGGGGAGUAACGCGUGGGUAACCUGCCUCAUACAGGGGGAUAACAGUUAGAAAUGACUGCUAAUACCGCAUAAGACCACAGCACCGCAUGGUGCAGGGGUAAAAACUCCGGUGGUAUGAGAUGGACCCGCGUCUGAUUAGGUAGUUGGUGGGGUAACGGCCUACCAAGCCGACGAUCAGUAGCCGACCUGAGAGGGUGACCGGCCACAUUGGGACUGAGACACGGCCCAA